GUUGUUAUCGAAAUUCAGGGGAUCGGAUCUGGAGAGCUGGCGAGCCAGGGAGGGAGAGAUUUACCCUGUUUGAUGACAGUUUUCCCUGGAAAUCCAUCAGCGUGGAAGUGUGAAGUGCCGGCCAGGGAUUUUAAUUGCAAAGUUAGAAACAACACGCGGCUUAGCAGCAACUUUUCAGUCAAUGCGAUUAGCAGAUGGGACACCGAAAAUUCCGGAAAACUUUCUGCCGACCAAAGAGCAUUAACAUUUUUGGAUAUAUUUGUGCAGGGGGACAAAGGCGAACCUGUUCUAAUCUGAUGCAGCUCGGUUGCACUUGAGAGGAUUUGUCGGAGCUGUUGCAGACAAAAGCCCAUUAAGGGAUAAGGGAUUGUUCGGCGGACAGUCGCAUCCUAGUCGCGGUUUCUGUUUGUCCAGACCGCAAAAACUAGUCCCGGAUCGGGACGAGAGUAUGGGUUAUUGUAAUGCCAUUAGGGCUUAGCGUGACGGACACUUUGCGUGGGCCGCGAUUAUCGAUCAAAGCCGCAAAAUGCCAACAGGUAGAACCGGAGGACCGUCCAGAGCCCGUGCCCAUUUUCCAGAUAUAGCAAUAUUAACAUCUUAGUGCUUAUUGAAACAUUUAAUCGCGCUAUUGAAAAGAUAAGUUAUUCCGAUAGGAUAAUUCUCCUUCUUCCUCAAAUAAAUACCCUUUGUCCACAUAUGUGAUGCCUGCCCACUGGAAGUAUUAAUAUGCAAACGCAAUAAUAAAACUGCAAAUGGAAAAUGGCAAACAGCAGCGGAUUGUCGGAGUAGCUGGCAAGUGAACUUAAUUUACAAUCGCGCGGAGAGUCAUUCAUUUGGAGCAAACACCUGCGAGUUGCAAGUUGCAAGUGGCAAACUCCUACCUACUACUUUUUUCGUUUGUGCCCCAGUGCCUCCGUGUGUGGGGCGAUAUUGAAAUGCUCGGGGGAUCGGGCGAUGGGGAGCCGUGUAUGAUUUUUGAUUUAUGAUCUGUCACAAAAAUAGUUGCCCCCGCCCCACUGUGCGGAAUAAAAUGCGUGCAGAAGGAACGGCGAGAGGAACAGGAAGGCACUAAAAGAUAUUUACGAUGCCCAUGGUGCGGCAGCGAAGUUAUGCAUAAAACUUUCUAUAGAAGUCAGAACUUGUGCCGGGCCUAUCUUAACACGAUCAAAGCCAGCCACAACAACAGAAGCAAUCAAUUUUCGUUGUUGUGAUAGCCGCGGGUAGUCAGACAGCCCGUCUGUCCUGCUCCCAAUGCCCCGACCCGCCCAGUCCUUCACUCCGGGCCAGCAGAUAUCCACUAAGCCUGGCCAAAAGGAGCUGCAGGCGAGGCGGCCGCUUAAUAAAUAUGAUAAUGCAGCGCACACAUGUUCCAGCCGGCGAGAACUUGGCCGGCCUGCUCCACUAAUUAAUGUUACAGCGACAUGGGCAGUCGCUCUACCUCCACCAUCCUGGAGCUGGUUCUAGUUCUAGUCCUGGUGCUGGUUCUCUGGAUCCCUGCAAUAUGCAACCCCACAACACCCCGCAUACCCCAAUAAUAAUAAAUAGUGUCAAGAUUAA